rnacentral:lncRNA from 1 species
AGAUAUCCAGUGUGUACCUUCUCAUGAGCUGCCAAACCAAUACCAGCGUGAGAGUGUGGUUUCCUUCAUUGAGGUCUUGUCCUGCGAUGCCAACCAGGGAGAAUUUAGCUUGAUUCUUCACCAGAUCCCACUGCAUAAUUAAUUACAGUUCUCCAGCUUUUUCACAUUGCCCCCCAGCUUGGGGUAUGGAGGCUUGUUUACUCUGUUCUAGUCAGCAGGGACUUUGAUCUUUUCAUAGAGCUGGAAGAUGUCUAAGGCAUCUGAUAAGUCGCUGUACAAAUGAUUGACUUGAGGGUUAACUCCCAGUUCCUCAACGUCCGCUCUUCGAGAGCCCCCCAGUCAAUGUCCUGGUUCUCUGGUUUAUGUAAGGCAGGGUAUUUGUUAAAGAGGUUGGCAAUGAAGACCAGGUUCAACUUGGGGUUCCCUCGGACAACAUCAGUAGCUGUGACAAACUGCCGGCAGCCCAGCCUCUCCGCCUGUUGCAGCAUGCGCUCUGCACUCUGGAUGUCAUCCUUCUUCAGUCCUGAUGUGUCAAUCACAACAGCCGGGAUCCCUUCUUCAUCUCCUUUUGGAGCCACUUGCUCGAGCAGGUGGUAAUAAGCUUUGGAGUCCUUGAUGUCGUGCUGAAGUUGGUGAUUUUGGUGCAGCCUGCGUUUUCUAGGUGGUAGUUAGCCCACUGCAGCAGGAAUUCUUCAGGAGACAACUUCAUCAAAUCCUCUAGGCUCUCUCCUUCUCUCAAAAGAGCAAUCAGAGCUUCAUUUCUGCUGAGUUCAAUGUCAACAAACAACCCAAUCUUGAUGACUUGCCACAGAAGUCCCAGGACCAGGUAAGGCUUGCCCUCCUUCAGGUCCUCGGCCCCUAUAUUAACCACGUGGCACCCGA